rnacentral:tmRNA from 2 species
GGGGGUGACAUGGCUUCGACGCCGGUUUCAAACCCUGAGGUGCAUGUCGAGAGGGUAACGUAUCUCGUAAAUCCAGCGUUACAAUUUUAUAGUCGCAAACGACGAAAACUACGCUCUAGCAGCUUAAUUGCUGCUCCCUCAGACGGAAGAUGCCUGUAUCUUCUAGACGAGGUAUGAGCCCGCGAAACAGGCUCGAAGCAACGUCCGUCUCAGGCCGCGCUUCUAAAACUUUUAGAGACUCGCGCUAGGCAAUCCUGUUCGUUGGAGUGCCAGGCGUUAAACUAAAAAACGAAACUAAGCAUGUAGAGCCGAUGGCAGAGGACUGGCGGACGGGGGUUCGACUCCCCCCACCUCCACCA